ACUUCAAAAAAUAAAAAAGUUUCUGGAGUAUUGGAUCAGACUUUUAAAUAACUUGGCAAUAAACAAAAGCUGCCAUUUGGAACAAUUUCCAAAAAAAUAUUCAAAGACAUACAGUAUUGGGAAGUAACUAACCGACACCACCUACUAAAAAUUGUUCACUUACGAAGAGACAAACAUUUUUAUUUCAUAAUCGAGCAGAAUAUUUUUCGGAUUAAAUUGCAAUAGAGAAAAACUACAAUUUGGAAUAGAGAAAAACUACAAUUUGGAAUAGUUGGAAAGUUACACACCGCCACCACCCCAUAAAAACUGCCCACUUCAAAAAAUAAAAAAGUUUCUGGAGUAUUGGAUCAGACUUUUAAAUAACUUGGCAAUAAACAAAAGCUGCCAUUUGGAACAAUUUCCAAAAAAAUAUUCAAAGACAUACAGUAUUGGGAAGUAACUAACCGACACCACCUACUAAAAAUUGUUCACUUACGAAGAGACAAACAUUUUUAUUUCAUAAUCGAGCAGAAUAUUUUUCGGAUUAAAUUGCAAUAGAGAAAAACUACAAUUUGGAAUAGAGAAAAACUACAAUUUGGAAUAGUUGGAAAGUUACACACCGCCACCACCCCAUAAAAAUUGUUCACUUACGAAAAGACAAACAUUUUUAUUUAAUAAUCGAGCAGAAUAUUUUUCGGAUUAAAUUGCAAUAGAGAAAAACUACAAUUUGGAAUAGUUGGAAAGUUACACACCGCCACCACCCCA